CAAUAUCUACUUUGCCAGGGAUGAAGGUAGCUCUGGGGAACAUGUACCUAAUAUGGCAACAACUAUUACUCUGACCUUCCCCCAUCCUGUCUCAGGAAUACAGCUGGCAUUGCACGAGAAGAUCUGUAAGGAAGAAUUACGUCAAGAAAAGCAGCAGACACAAGAACAUGGCAGAUUCAGGCAGAGAUGAAGAUGGAGCAGAGAAGCCAAGUCGUGAGCAUGCGGGACAAAACUUGAGAUCAGUGUAGGGGAAAGUCCAGUGGAGACCAGCUAAGGAAGAAGGGGGCUGGUCAACUAACCACAGAGAGCGUCAGUCUCCCCGCCCUUGUGUAAAUAGAGCUCAAGGCUGUGCUACAGCUUCAUAAUGUUUGGGGCUUGUUCAUUCAAGCUUGUCCUACCACAUUCCACUCUUCUAAGACUGCCUGGGAUGCUGAGUGACAGCAAAAUGGGGACAGUCACUCAGGAGAGGCCAGCUUCCUCCUUGGGUAAAGAUUCUCUUUCUUUGCCCUGGGAUGAAGGACAAUAGCGUCCAUAGGAACCCCCUUUCCCAAAUCUUGCAAAGGAGCUGCUUCACAAACACCCAGAAUCUCACCUUCUUA
rnacentral:lncRNA from 1 species